CAAAGCUUUAUUUAAUCAGCCGUUUGAUUUUAUUUUUUUGGUAGAGAUGCUGCUGAUCCCUGAGCAGGCCGAGGCAGCCCCCAUGCCUGCCCCCCGCUCGGCUGCACUGGCUGCUGCCUGUCGGUUUGUCUCAGAUUCAUUCCUGGGACUCCGCCCAUUCUUUUCAGGAUAAUUUUUGAUCCCAAAUACUCAAAAACUCUUUUAGGUGCAUAUUUUUAAACAGCAUCUGUGGGUCCUGUUUCCUUUAGCGGCCCUCGGCGCUUCACUCCUCCUGCCACAGCAGCGCCCUGCUCCCUCAGGCUGCAGUCCACCCCGCCCUGCACGCCCAGGGUUAAACCGCGGCUCUUUGUCUUCGGCUCCUCCUCCUUCCUCUUCCUCUUCUAGCAGCCGCUGCUUCAGAGGCCCCACGGUUAGGCUCCGUAGCCCACCGCCUCAGAAGCCUUCAAACAGCCCGGGUCCUACCCGCGGCCCGCGCUCCUGCUUCGGCCUCCGCCGCGCGGGGCAGGCGGCGCGGACAGACAAGAUGGCUGCGGCCAGGCGGGGAGGCGGCACAAAGAGAUAAUGGGAUUUUCUAUGCCAGCACUAAACUGAGACUAAGCUUCAGCCUUUUAUAUUAUUUGUUGAAAAAGGAAGCUGCACUACCAAAAGCAGAUACCUAUGAAGUGCUUGACUGGGAGGCUGUGCCUCUCUCUGAAGGAAUAACUCCUACUUCAAAAACUUUACAGAAUGCAAACUCAAAUCUUUUAACGUUGUAUUUUGCAUAGCAACAAUAAAACAGUGAUUGACUUUUCCAGAGUUGUGACUUGAAUAACUGGGGGGAGGGAAAGCAGAAACUCCAUUGCCAGCAAUGGAUGCAUCAGAACAAGAAGUUAAUAAUACACAUAGGACAGCAGUUUUCUAAACAUACCUCCUGUUUUAAAAGGCAUGAUGCAGAUUUACUAAGCAAGUUUCAAGCAAAUUCUUCACAGAAGAAAAUUUUUGCUACAAGCUGUCCUCUGAACAUUGUUUUCUUCACCAAUGUUUGUUGUUUAUUUCAUGGAAUACAGUAUUUAUUUCUAAACAGUACCAAUGGAUCAUUAAAAAACAUUUUUUUUCCACUGAAGGCGAAGAUGUGCUCUGACUUGACCUGGUUCACAUCCAUCACAAGUAUCACUGCCAGGAUGUAUAUGAAAAGAAAGCACAGUUUCACCAAUCUUCACUUCAUCGCCAUGCUCCAAGAUGUACGGAUCACAUUUCAUUUUAGGCUACAGCAAAAGGAAGUUUUGGCAGCCAUGGUUAUUAGCUAGUCAUGCAGGGCACCAAUGCUAUUACAUGAAUACUGCUUGUAAUUUACUGAAAAAGUCUGAAGUAACAAAUGCAGGCAAAUAUUUAAAAUACAGUGGGUAUUUCACUCUAGGAACUGUAACCAUAGUAGAUUUUUUCUAGUUCUUAACACAAACACAAAAUAUUAAAAGUGGCCCUAAAAUAUGAAGGAAAUCAAGGAACAACAAUGUUAUUAGCAAUUUGCCAUUACAUUUUUUUUUAAAUAACCGCAUGAUUACAGUUUUCUGCAAUGUAUACAGUGUUGUAACAGCAAAUACUCACCUGUAAAAUCUGAUUUCCAUUAACAACUGUUCCAUUCUGACUGCCUUGAUCCACAAGAACAUAAUUUUGCAAAUCAUGGUCAAAAUAUACUUCUGCAUGGAACUGAUAAAUAGAAGACUUAAGUGAAAUGUUCUCAUUAAGCAAAUACUUCACAGUUUAAAUGCUAUUUUAAAGUAAGAUUUCAGAAUGUAUAUGGGAGCCUCUUCGCUGAGUGGCUUUGGUACUCAAAGUUAACAAAACAUUCUAAGCAUUUUGAAAUGUAAAUGAAUGGGUUGCAACAUCACAAGCUAACACGUUCUAUUAAUAGUCUGUUUUGACCACAAACUGUCUCAGUACUGAAAAAGCACGUACUUCCUGUUUCAGAAAGUAUGCUUUACUUAAAGGAUUGAAAGACACAGCAAUAAACAAUUUUUAGCUGUUCCUAUGAAUAAAUGAAAUUUUUUCCUUGUAAGGUAUGUUAUAGCACUCUCAACUUUGCUCUUUCUGGAAGGCAUCAAGAAGACAUUUGGAAAAACGCAAUUAAAAAAAAAAUCUGAUCUCA